AGUAAAAGUCGUAACAAGGUCUCCGUAGGUGAACCUGCGGAGGGAUCAUUACAAGUGACCCCGGUCUAACCACCGGGAUGUUCAUAACCCUUUGUUGUCCGACUCUGUUGCCUCCGGGGCGACCCUGCCUUCGGGCGGGGGCUCCGGGUGGACACUUCAAACUCUUGCGUAACUUUGCAGUCUGAGUAAACUUAAUUAAUAAAUUAAAACUUUUAACAACGGAUCUCUUGGUUCUGGCAUCGAUGAAGAACGCAGCGAAAUGCGAUAAGUAAUGUGAAUUGCAGAACUCAGUGAAUCAUCGAAUCUUUGAACGCACAUUGCGCCCCCUGGUAUUCCGGGGGGCAUGCCUGUUCGAGCGUCAUUUCACCACUCGAGCCUCGCUUGGUAUUGGGCAACGCGGUCCGCCGCGUGCCUCAAAUCGACCGGCUGGGUCUUCUGUCCCCUAAGCGUUGUGGAAACUAUUCGCUAAAGGGUGCUCGGGAGGCUACGCCGUAAAACAAACCCAUUUCUAAGGUUGACCUCGGAUCAGGUAGGGAUACCCGCUGAACUUAAGCAUAUCAAUAAGCGGAGGAAAAGAAACCAACAGGGAUUGCCCCAGUAACG
rnacentral:rRNA from 1 species